AACUGAAUCCAUAGGUUAAUGAGGCGAACCGGGGGAACUGAAACAUCUAAGUACCCCGAGGAAAAGAAAUCAACCGAGAUUCCCCCAGUAGCGGCGAGCGAACGGGGAGGAGCCCAGAGCCUGAAUCAGCAUGUGUGUUAGUGGAAGCGUCUGGAAAGGCGCGCGAUACAGGGUGACAGCCCCGUACACAAAAGCGCAUGUGCUGUGAGCUCGAUGAGUAGGGCGGGACACGUGGUAUCCUGUCUGAAUAUGGGGGGACCAUCCUCCAAGGCUAAAUACUCCUGACUGACCGAUAGUGAACCAGUACCGUGAGGGAAAGGCGAAAAGAACCCCGGCGAGGGGAGUGAAAAAGAACCUGAAACCGUGUACGUACAAGCAGUGGGAGCACCCUUUGGGUGUGACUGCGUACCUUUUGUAUAAUGGGUCAGCGACUUAUAUUCUGUAGCAAGGUUAACCGAAUAGGGGAGCCGGAGGGAAACCGAGUCUUAACCGGGCGUUAAGUUGCAGGGUAUAGACCCGAAACCCGGUGAUCUAGCCAUGGGCAGGUUGAAGGUUGGGUAACACUAACUGGAGGACCGAACCGACUAAUGUUGAAAAAUUAGCGGAUGACCUGUGGCUGGGGGUGAAAGGCCAAUCAAACCGGGAGAUAGCUGGUUCUCCCCGAAAGCUAUUUAGGUAGCGCCUCGUGAAUUCAUCUCCGGGGGUAGAGCACUGUUUCGGCUAGGGGGCCAUCCCGGCUUACCAACCCGAUGCAAACUGCGAAUACCGGAGAAUGUUAUCACGGGAGACACACGGCGGGUGCUAACGUCCGUCGUGAAGAGGGAAACAACCCAGACCGCCAGCUAAGGUCCCAAAGUCAUGGUUAAGUGGGAAACGAUGUGGGAAGGCCCAGACAGCCAGGAUGUUGGCUUAGAAGCAGCCAUCAUUUAAAGAAAGCGUAAUAGCUCACUGGUCGAGUCGGCCUGCGCGGAAGAUGUAACGGGGCUAAACCAUGCACCGAAGCUGCGGCAGCGACACUGUGUGUUGUUGGGUAGGGGAGCGUUCUGUAAGCCUGUGAAGGUGUGUCGUGAGGCAUGCUGGAGGUAUCAGAAGUGCGAAUGCUGACAUAAGUAACGAUAAAGCGGGUGAAAAGCCCGCUCGCCGGAAGACCAAGGGUUCCUGUCCAACGUUAAUCGGGGCAGGGUGAGUCGACCCCUAAGGCGAGGCCGAAAGGCGUAGUCGAUGGGAAACGGGUUAAUAUUCCCGUACUUGGUGUUACUGCGAAGGGGGGACGGAGAAGGCUAUGUUGGCCGGGCGACGGUUGUCCCGGUUUAAGCGUGUAGGUGUGUGUUCCAGGUAAAUCCGGUUCACUUUAACACUGAGGCGUGACGACGAGGCACUACGGUGCUGAAGCAACAAAUGCCCUGCUUCCAGGAAAAGCCUCUAAGCAUCAGGUAACAUCAAAUCGUACCCCAAACCGACACAGGUGGUCAGGUAGAGAAUACCAAGGCGCUUGAGAGAACUCGGGUGAAGGAACUAGGCAAAAUGGUGCCGUAACUUCGGGAGAAGGCACGCUGACACGUAGGUGAAGUGAUUUACUCAUGGAGCUGAAGUCAGUCGAAGAUACCAGCUGGCUGCAACUGUUUAUUAAAAACACAGCACUGUGCAAACACGAAAGUGGACGUAUACGGUGUGACGCCUGCCCGGUGCCGGAAGGUUAAUUGAUGGGGUCAGCGCAAGCGAAGCUCCUGAUCGAAGCCCCGGUAAACGGCGGCCGUAACUAUAACGGUCCUAAGGUAGCGAAAUUCCUUGUCGGGUAAGUUCCGACCUGCACGAAUGGCGUAAUGAUGGCCAGGCUGUCUCCACCCGAGACUCAGUGAAAUUGAACUCGCUGUGAAGAUGCAGUGUACCCGCGGCAAGACGGAAAGACCCCGUGAACCUUUACUAUAGCUUGACACUGAACAUUGAGCCUUGAUGUGUAGGAUAGGUGGGAGGCUUUGAAGUGUGGACGCCAGUCUGCAUGGAGCCGACCUUGAAAUACCACCCUUUAAUGUUUGAUGUUCUAACGUGGACCCGUUACCCGGGUUGCGGACAGUGUCUGGUGGGUAGUUUGACUGGGGCGGUCUCCUCCUAAAGAGUAACGGAGGAGCACGAAGGUUGGCUAAUCCUGGUCGGACAUCAGGAGGUUAGUGCAAUGGCAUAAGCCAGCUUGACUGCGAGCGUGACGGCGCGAGCAGGUGCGAAAGCAGGUCAUAGUGAUCCGGUGGUUCUGAAUGGAAGGGCCAUCGCUCAACGGAUAAAAGGUACUCCGGGGAUAACAGGCUGAUACCGCCCAAGAGUUCAUAUCGACGGCGGUGUUUGGCACCUCGAUGUCGGCUCAUCACAUCCUGGGGCUGAAGUAGGUCCCAAGGGUAUGGCUGUUCGCCAUUUAAAGUGGUACGCGAGCUGGGUUUAGAACGUCGUGAGACAGUUCGGUCCCUAUCUGCCGUGGGCGCUGGAGAACUGAGGGGGGCUGCUCCUAGUACGAGAGGACCGGAGUGGACGCAUCACUGGUGUUCGGGUUGUCAUGCCAAUGGCACUGCCCGGUAGCUAAAUGCGGAAGAGAUAAGUGCUGAAAGCAUCUAAGCACGAAACUUGCCCCGA
rnacentral:rRNA from 1 species